UUAAACACAAAACUAACCUCCUUUUUUUUGGAAAUUAGUUUUGCCCUAUUCACCCCACAAGUUCAUAUAAUUCACGAAAAUGCCAUCAAUUUUUUUUUUUUUUUUUGAAAAUGACAUUUUUCCUCUCUCACCCUCAUCUUCUUCAAGUAAUUAUAAGAUUGCCAUUGCCAUCAAUACCCCAAUCACCAUGAACAAGCAAUUUGAAGCUCUUAAUGCUCCUAAAAUCU
rnacentral:lncRNA from 1 species